rnacentral:lncRNA from 1 species
UACAGGCAUAAGCCACUGUGCCCAGCUGUAUCUUCUUUUACCGAUGAGGACACUGACAGAGACAGGGUCUCACUCUGUCACCCAGGAGUACAGUGGCACGAUCAUAGCUCAACGUAAACUGGAACUUCUGGGCUUAAGCGAUGCUCUCGCUUCAGCCUCCCAAGUACCUGGGACCACAGCAGGGAAAAAGCAAAUCCUGGAGGAAGCUCACCUUCUCCACACUGCUCAUCGCCUGGAAAUAGAUGUUGUAUCCUUUGCGCGGAGCCAAAGGAGGGUUCCAAAAGCCUUGUCCUUCAAUCCACAUUUCAAUUAACUUCCUUGUUCUCCCAAUACCUCAUAUUGAGUGAUGAUUCCAUUUGGAUCCAAAGGUUCUUUCCAGUUCAAGAAGAUCUUAUUUUCAAAGGAUGUUCCUUGAAGAGAUUUUACUGUGAACUUCACACAUGACAUUAUCCAGAAAUGUAGUUUCAAAGUAUAUAGCAAUUUUGUGAGGAUUGAAAUAAAUUAAAAAUCACUGGAUCAAGGGAAAUACAUUGCAUUGUGGCUAGGAGCAUCAAGAAAUUCUGAAUGAUAUCUCACGAGAGCAGGAUUUAUUUCAAUCUACAAGGAGACUAUGAAUGAUACUAUGACCUCUGAGACAGGCAACAUAAUUUGAUACAUUGAGGAAAGAAACCCACAAUAAACAGAAAAUAUGCCAGCACUAAACUUUAGAAGAUAUGUUCAAGCCAUUGUCAGCCGAAGACUAUGAGAGAAGUUAACUGAAUGCAUCCGCUCUCUCCCUGCUCCACAGUACCAGCAAGGCUGUGCAGCUGAUCCAGACAGAGGGCCAGUGAGAGCCCCUCUGCACAUCUGUGUCUAUUGCUAAGGCUGCCAUGGGCAUUGGUUUGUCUUGCAAGAGUACCUGUUGUUUCCAUUAUAUGCAAAUGACAUACACUUAUGAUUAUAUUGAAGGAAAAGAUAUUUCUUCAUCCUUACGUAUCUCUCAUAGAAGGUGGCUAAUGGGGGAAAAAGGGAGCAAAAUAUCCAAUUAAUGAAUAAAUGUUGAUUUGAUGGCAUUGUAAUUAUAAUAACUGCCUAUGUUUACCUAACACAAUUUAGCCUACAAAUACCAUAAAAUGGCAUAGAUUUAUUUUAUCGAACAUCGUUCAAUAAUAGGGAUGGUUUAAAAUAUUUGUAUAAUUCUACAUUGAAAAAGGAGUAGAAUUGGGAAGUACCUUCCCUAGAAGUUUUGUAUUUCUAUGCUCUUACAGUUUUUCUGUUUUGACAAUAGAAUUCACUACAAGUACCUAUAGAUUGCAUUUGUAAGACAAAAGUUUGUGGCAAAGUUGUGGACAAGAGAGUGUCAUACUACUUGUCGUGUACUUGGAUGAUCAUAGAUGAGAGAAGGAACUAUACUUAGAUGAACUAAAAGACACACACAAACAGGUGAGGUGAGGUGUGAGCACAAACAAAGUAGAUUCAAUAACUUUCUACAUUUGAAGGAAGAUCAUGUGUACAAUUAUAGACAGAAAAUGUCUCUCUGUACCUAUGAUUUGUGUAAAUACUAUAUGAAGUUACUAAAACCAUUAUCAUGGCAGUCUACUGAUUGCAGGGAAUGUCACUUCACAUUUCCACAUCAACAACUUUUAAUGGAAACAGAAUGCUGACUUUUGUUCCCUUGCCUGAGACUUAUAUGACAGCUAUUUCAGCUACUUUUUUUGAAAGUCCUUUAUAAUAUAACUCUCAAAAUGGAAAAGAGAGUGGAAAUAAAAUAUGGGUGGGGCAAGAUUAUAUUAGAUAAGCAUUAUAGCCUUUAAAAUGUAAUAAAUGUACUUUCAAAAAAAAAAAAAAA